CUUUUCCCAUAUAGGUUAUUACAGAAUACUGAGUAAAGUUCCCAGUGCUAUUCAGUAGGUCCUUGUUGAUUACCUAUUUUUAUAUAUAGUAGUGUGGAUAUGUUAAUCCUAGACUCCUAGGGAUUUGAUUUUUUUUCCGUAAUCUGCCAUCUGGACUCUAUAGAAUGAGAGAAGGGUCACUUGGUAAACUGAUCCCAGUUUGUUCACUUAUAGGAAUUGCACACUGGGGGAAAGCACCCACUACAAACUGUGCUACCAUGGAAGUAGUAUCGUCCAUCAUUGUGCUGUUUCCUAGGAUGGCUGUCUCCAUCGAGCACAGCUCUCUAGGUCCCCCCAGUCUCCUCCAGGUCUUCUCCCUCCGAGGCUUCCUUUGGUUCCACCUUACUAGGGCUGACCCUUGGUGGACACAGGACCUGAAUAGCAAAGCCAUGCCCCUUCUGUCCCUCCCUGCAAACAGCACCCCAGGACUGCCCUCCCUGAGUCCAGUGGGCUUGUCUGCCCUGCAGGGACACACAUGGGCCUAAAAAGCCAGACACUGGAAAGCCUUGGAAGACAAUGACCCAGCCUUGGCAGGAAGAGACAUAAGCAAGAGAAGUUUGGGGUUGAUUACAAAACAGCUUGUGCCAAAAGUGGUAGAUUCUCAGGAGAAAAACCUUAUCUAGGAAGUUCCAGGGCAAGGAAGAAUAAAGAAAAAUGAAAUGGCAGAGAGAAGCAACAAGACCAAAUUAAGAAAUGUAAGAUCUAGAUAGAUCGUUAGGAGGCAUGUAUGGUCCGCAAUGGAUGCUUUGUCCUUGAGACAUUUAAAAUAAAAUCAAGAGAGGCCUUCACUGACCACUCUAAGUAGCUUAAGUCUUUUCCACCUUCGCCUCCUGGGUUUGGUUGCGAGGUAUUUCGCUGGCUCAGUUAUGAGCAUUCUGGGGUCGGGCUGCCUUCUAGGUGGGGAGCUAGUUAUGAGCAUUCUGGGGUCGGGCUGCCUUCUAGGUGGGGAGCUAGUUAUGAGCAUUCUGGGGUCGGGCUGCCUUCUAGGUGGGGAGCUAGGAACAGGGAGCCCUCUCUUCCUCGGACCAGCUUUCCAUUCUUUCUCUUUUCUUUCUCUCUUUCUUUCUGACUUUCUUUCUUCCUGUCCUUCCUUUCCCUUCCUUCCUUCCCUCCUUCCCUCUCUCCCUCCCUUCCCCCCUUUCUUCCUGUCUUCCUGCAAAUAAGGGAAAAAAAAAAACUUGAGGAGACCACUGGUGCAGGUUCCAGUAAUAACCGUGGCAGGUAAUUUUUGCACAUCCGGAGUGAGUCAUUUUCUUAUAAAUGAGAUCAGGGGCUGUAGUGCUCCCAGAAGAAAAAAACACUUAUAUUGACGUGUUUAUGUAUUGGAAUGAUAAUAUUUGUCCAUGUGAAAAGACGUGUGAUUCCUUUCUCCCACACCAUAUGGCUUAUUACUCUUCCUAAUCCAAAUAGUAGCAGCUGCUGCAGAAUGCGAGAAUGAGUUUUCCUGAAGUAAAAAUGGGCUGUCUUGGACGCCACAUGUACUUUCCACAGUAUCACCAGCAAUUCACCAGAAACCUACAUAUGGGUCCCUUCCAUUAAUCCAUUCCUUUCUUUAUUCAUAUCUCAGAAGUUCAUUUUUCUAUCCACUUCCAUUCUGUCCCUCUCACCCAACCUACCCCCAUUCAGCCUGGGCCCCCACGGGGCCACUCCACCUCGGGAACAUGGACGCGUAUUGUUUAGAACUGUUGGCAACUGAAGGUUUCAGUUUGGGUCUUGCUGACCGCUGACAACUGCCAGAGAAAAUGGCAGUGAAUUUUCGCCCUGGUUCCCCAUGUGGCUUCCUACACUGCUGAACUGCAUUAUAUAUUUGUAGUUAAUCAGACACAUGAAGACACUGAAGCAGUUAAUGACUCCCCCUCAGGCCAACUUGGCCCAACUCUGAGGUAAUGGAAAGUGUAGGGCAGCACUUUCUACAGACCACUGGAAUGUGGUUUGCAGAGACCCUUGAGGUUUAAGAAGGAAGCCAUUUGUGGCCUAGGUGCUGGAUGCCACUGUAGAAACCAACACGCUCACCAGCACAAAAUAACCCAGUUUCACAGAGGAGAGGUAUCUGUGGCACUUAUCAUUACACGGUCAUUCUGAGUCCCCCUGAAAGCUGGAGGUUUUAGAAAAUCAAAACACUCUUCUUGCUGAUUAUACACAUUAGAGUGGUAAAUAUCUAGACCAUUUAACCAAAAGAAAAAAAAAAGUCCUGACCAAAUAUCCCAAAACUUGAGCCUAAAAUGAAAGUAUAUAGAUAAUUGCUUUAAUUUUCCACUUCAGUUGGUUAAGUUAUAAUAAUACCUUGCACUUGCGUGAUGUAUCAUAGUUUUCAGGGUGUUUUCAUGUAUAUUAAUAGUAAUUGAGACUUUUUUCCAAGAAGACUGUCAGGUGACCUGAAUCGAUGGACAUGCGUGAGAUUGGUAUAUUAUCUCUGUCAGCUACGUUUUCUGUUCCUCCCACAGCGGGUAUCACUAAUUUCCAACUUGUAUCGGCCAUCUUCCCGCAGCCAUUUGUCUUAUUCAGCGAAACUUCCCCCGAAGGCUCAGCUCUCUCCACUCCCAGAACCCAUCCUGACCUGCAGUGUGAAUCUGAUGUUGGAUGCUUCGAGAUGAACUCAGAAAGUCCAUUUGUCUGGGAGCUGUUUCUUAAUACGCCUUCAUCUUGUAGCCGAAUUCCUCUCCUGUGACUGAAAUAUUAAUCAAAGGCUGUUUCUGCAUCUCACAUCAUGUACACCUGCCUCUCAUCAUCGGAAGAGAUGAAGUAGACUCAUCUGUGUGACCGUGUGCCUCUAUCUAGGCAUAGUUUAAGGUUCUAUUGACAGAAAUAAAAAGGGAAUGGCCAGAAAA